UCUAUGAAAUAAUGAUCUCUAUGACUACAAAAUAACAUCUACCUCCUGAUCGCAAAAGAACUGAGGAAGCUCUUUCCACUACGGCUGUAUUGCGCUGCUGAGUCCGGGCCCAUGGAUGAGAAAUUGAUGCGAGGAUCAAUGCAAGCUUAAUUUGAAUUAAUAAAAGGAAAUAUUUUCUCCCUUUGAACUUAUCUCCGUAAAGCCAUUGUGCCUCCUCUUGGGGGUCACAUGUUCACAAUCAAUGGCCUUUGAGGAGCUCUUGAGUCAAGUUGGAGGCCUUGGGAGGUUUCAGAUCCUUCAUCUGGUUUUUAUUCUUCCCUCUCUCAUGGUAUUAAUCCCUCAUAUACUGCUAGAGAACUUUGCUGCAGCCAUUCCUGGUCAUCGUUGCUGGGUCCACAUGCUGGACAAUAAUACUGGAUCUGGUAAUGAAACUGGAAUCCUCAGUGAAGAUGCCCUCCUGAGAAUUUCUAUCCCACUAGACUCAAAUCUGAGGCCAGAGAAGUGUCGUCGCUUCGUCCAUCCCCAGUGGCAGCUUCUUCACCUGAAUGGGACUAUCCACAGCACAAGUGAGGCAGACACAGAACCCUGUGUGGAUGGCUGGGUAUAUGAUCAAAGCUACUUCCCUUCGACCAUUGUGACUAAGUGGGACCUGGUAUGUGAUUAUCAGUCACUGAAAUCAGUGGUUCAAUUCCUACUUCUGACUGGAAUGCUGGUGGGAGGCAUCAUAGGUGGCCAUGUCUCAGACAGGUUUGGGCGAAGAUUUAUUCUCAGAUGGUGUUUGCUCCAGCUUGCCAUCACUGACACCUGUGCUGCCUUCGCUCCCACCUUCCCUGUUUACUGUGUACUCCGCUUCUUGGCAGGUUUUUCUUCCAUGAUCAUUAUAUCGAAUAAUUCUUUGCUCAUUACUGAGUGGAUAAGGCCCAACUCUAAAGCCCUGGUAGUAAUAUUGUCAUCUGGUGCCCUUAGUAUUGGACAGAUAAUCCUGGGAGGCUUGGCUUAUGUCUUCCGAGAUUGGCAAACCCUGCAUGUGGUGGCGUCUGUACCUUUCUUUGUCUUCUUUCUUCUUUCAAGGUGGCUGGUGGAAUCUGCUCGGUGGUUGAUAAUCACCAAUAAACUAGAUGAGGGCUUAAAGGCACUUAGAAAAGUUGCACGCACAAAUGGAAUAAAGAAUGCUGAAGAAACCCUGAACAUAGAGGUUGUAAGAUCCACCAUGCAGGAGGAACUGGAUGCAGCACAGACCAAAACUACUGUGUGUGACUUGUUCCGCAACCCCAGUAUGCGUAAAAGGAUCUGUAUCCUGGUAUUUUUGAGAUUUGCAAACACAAUACCUUUUUAUGGUACCAUGGUCAAUCUUCAGCAUGUGGGGAGCAACAUUUUCCUGUUGCAGGUACUUUAUGGAGCUGUCGCUCUCAUAGUUCGAUGUCUUGCUCUUUUGACACUAAAUCAUAUGGGCCGUCGAAUAAGCCAGAUAUUGUUCAUGUUCCUGGUGGGCCUUUCCAUUUUGGCCAACACGUUUGUGCCCAAAGAAAUGCAGACCCUGCGUGUGGCUUUGGCAUGUCUGGGAGUCGGCUGUUCUGCUGCUACUUUUUCCAGUGUUGCUGUUCACUUCAUUGAACUCAUCCCCACUGUUCUCAGGGCAAGAGCUUCAGGAAUAGAUUUAACGGCUAGUAGGAUUGGAGCAGCACUGGCUCCCCUCUUGAUGACCUUAACGGUAUUUUUUACCACUUUGCCAUGGAUCAUUUAUGGAAUCUUCCCCAUCAUUGGUGGCCUUAUUGUCUUCCUCCUACCAGAAACCAAGAAUCUGCCUUUGCCUGACACCAUCAAGGAUGUGGAAAAUCAAAAAAAAAUCUCAAGAAAAAGGCAUAAAAAUGAUUGCUACACAAAAGUGACCAAAUUUUAAGAAGCCUUCAUGAGCUGAUUGGUGCCCAGAUUUCUUAUAGUUCAAACACACAUACUCUACAACUUGUGCAGUUAACGCAAUCAUCACAGGGUCCUGAGGCAACAUACAUCCUCCUCAGCUGACGUGAUCACAGGAUUAAGAGAUUAAAGAGAGAGCGCCAAGAUGGCCGAAUAUGAACAGCUCCGGUCUACAGCUCCCAGCGUGAGCGACACAGAUGAUGAGUGAUUUCUGCAUUUCCAUCUGAGGAGUUCCGUCUACCCUGGCUGAUAGUAUUGCUACAAGAUGACACUGUCAAGACAGAAGUGCCUGAGGAAAGGUAGAGACAACAAUUCAGGAAAAGAGGCCAGCCUGAAACCAUCUGAUAGUUUAUAUCUCAGCUUCAUGGCUUUUCUCUUAUUGUACCUCACCUUCCCCCUGCCACCAACCCACAUUCCGGCUGCAUUAAACAAUUUUCAGUUCUCUGACCACCACAAAUUUUGGUGCCUUUGGGGCCUUUGGAUGAGCUUGUUCUCCCUUCUUCCCACAUGCUUAGCUCAUGGCAUCUCCUUGAUGAUGCAUUUUCUGGCCCACCCAGGUAAAAACGACCACUCCUCCUUUGGCAUCUACUGUAUCCUGUACAUUCUUCUAUCAGCAGACUAUAACACUUUAUUGCACAUAUUUAUAAACUUUCAUGUUUCUGACUUAGCAAGCUACAGACUCCCUAACAGUAGAGAACAUUUGUUCAUCUCUCUGUCACUAAAUGUUUGUGUGUGUACAACUAUGAUCCUUCAUUCCUAAA